CGAAACACACAGCGUUGAGUGAAGACUUGUUUGUUAUCUGCUGGUGAAAGAGAUUAGAAAAUCUAAACGCUAUGUGAUCUCCUUUUUAGGUAAAAUAUACCUAAAAUAUAAUAAAGAUUCCUGUUAGACAACAUCAUAUUUGUAAAGGAAACAUACUUAAAAUGCACCUUCAUCAUAAAGGUACUUGAACCUAAAAGAAAGAAAAUUAAUUAAAAACAAAAUUUAUAAGUACAUAGAUACUCUAGUUAAUGAUCAAUAGGUGUGUAUCCACUACAUACCUAGUGUGAUACACAACAUGUCACAUACUUACCUACACUUAUGAUCUGUAAGUAUGUUGCUAAUGGGAUCAUAAAUCAUACCAUUAUUAAUUUAAGUAAGUAAGUAUAACAUAAAUAAGCCAAUUUCUUAUCAAAUUAAAGUUAGUACUAGUAAAGGACCAAUCCAGGUGUGAGGAAUACCUAAUAGCAUAGAAACAGACAAUAGAAAAUAUAAAAUUUUACAUCAUUGUCUUUAUAUAAGUACCUAUCAAUUUGUAUUACAUAGGCCCUCUAGGUAAUACAUAACCAUAGGUAAUUUGUACCUAUUAGGUAGUCAUACAUAUUAUUAGGUAGUAUUCCUUUUUAGUUGAAGUAAAAUUGAACUUUAUAAAGCACAGAAAUAUGGAUUGUAUUAGACUUAUGUCACUGCACCACCCUUGCUUGGUAGUUGAAUAGCCUACUGAAAUAGGAUUACAUGACAGCUGUCUAUGUGUACACUAUCAUAAUUUUCCUUUUGAGAUAUACAUGGGUGAUGACUAGUCUCUAGGUACACGGAAAAAUUUAUAGAUGUACCAAUUUCAAUCAAACAUGACUAAUUUUACCAAGAUUUUACAGGACCAACAGUCUUUAAAAAGUCAAGCCUGCAUGUAGGUAGCAACCUACUUAAGUAAAGGGCCAGUUAGAAUAGAAACAGCUUUUGUACAGCUAUUAGGCUUACACUCUUCUCUCAGGUUGAAAUAUAAAGUUUCAGAACCGCACAUCAUCUCUAUCUAUACUUGAUAAACAAUUUACUACUGCAAUAUAAUCCACCAUAAAUGCAAGUAAACACUUUAUAGGGACUAUUCAAUAGCCCAACUAAUAUGGAUAAUUGGAUAGGUAUUUUCACAGCCAUCAGUCAUAGGCUCCACAUGAUGUAGGUAUAUGGUAUACAUAUAAAAAUCAAUAUAAUAUAGGCACCUUACCAGAUAGAUCCUUAGAAAGGCUCAUAAAGGCCAAAUGUUAACACAACUUGGUGAACAAAAGUCCAGGACAAUAAUAGGCACUUAGACUUGUAGCUAUCUCAUGUUUGUACUCUCCAGA